AAAAAGGUAGUUUAAAAAGAACGUUGUUUUGUGGAAGCAAAAGUGUAAGAAUACCCUUUUUC
rnacentral:tRNA from 1 species